UACGGAGGGGACUAGCGUUGCUCGGAAUCACUGGGCGUAAAGGGUGCGUAGGCGGGUCUUUAAGUCAGGGGUGAAAUCCUGGAGCUCAACUCCAGAACUGCCUUUGAUACUGAGGAUCUUGAGUACGGGAGAGGUGAGUGGAACUGCGAGUGUAGAGGUGAAAUUCGUAGAUAUUCGCAAGAACACCAGUGGCGAAGGCGGCUCACUGGCCCGUAACUGACGCUGAGGCACGAAAGCGUGGGGAGCAAACAGG
rnacentral:rRNA from 1 species